UUCGCAAUGCCCGAAAGGGUGACGAAGCGACGCCGCGUGUGGGAAGAAGGCCUUCGGGUUGUAAACCACUGUCGGGAGUUAAGAAAUGUAAGGAUGUUAAUAGCGUCCUUACUUGACUAAGGCUCCGGAGGAAGCCACGGCUAACUCUGUGCCAGCAGCCGCGGUAAUACAGAGGCGGCAAGCGUUGUUCGGAAUUAUUGGGCGUAAAGAGCACGUAGGCGGCCUUGCAAGUCAGUUGUGAAAGCCUUCUGCUUAACGGAAGAACAGCAGCUGAUACUGCAAGGCUAGAGUGCGGAAGGGGAGAGUGGAACUUCUGGUGGAGCGGUGAAAUGCGUAGAUAUCAGAAGGAACACCGGCGGCGAAGGCGACUCUCUGGUCCGUAACUGACGCUGAGUGUGCGAAAGCUAGGGGAGCAAACGGGAUUAGAUACCCCGGUAGUCCUAGCCGUAAACGAUGGGCACUAAGUAGAGGGGUUUU
rnacentral:rRNA from 1 species